rnacentral:rRNA from 1 species
GCCAGCAGCUGUAUCACUCUGCAACUCACAAUGAAGCUAAGCAGGUGUAAGCCUGGUCAGUACCUGGAUGAGAGAACUCCUGGGAAAAACUAAGGUUGCUGCUGGAA